UCCCUGGUGGUCCAGUGGUUAGGACUCCACGCUUUCACUGCUGAUGGUCUGGGUUCGAUUCCUCAUCAGGGAA
rfam:Ovis aries breed Texel chromosome 3, whole genome shotgun sequence.